GUGCCAGCAGCCGCGGUAAUACGUAGGGUGCGAGCGUUAAUCGGAAUUACUGGGCGUAAAGCGUGCGCAGGCGGUUUUGUAAGUCAGAUGUGAAAUCCCCGGGCUUAACCUGGGAACUGCGUUUGAAACUGCAAGGCUAGAGUGUGGCAGAGGGGGGUGGAAUUCCGCGUGUAGCAGUGAAAUGCGUAGAGAUGUGGAGGAACACCGACGGCGAAGGCAGCCCCCUGGGUCAACACUGACGCUCAGGCACGAAAGCAUGGGGAGCAAACAGGAUUAGAUACCCUGGUAGUCCAUGCCCUAAACGAUGUCAACUAGUUGUCGGGUCUUAACAGGCUUGGUAACGUAGCUAACGCGUGAAGUUGACCGCCUGGGGAGUACGAUCGCAAGAUUAAAACUCAAAGGAAUUGACGGGGACCCGCACAAGCGGUGGAUUAUGUGGAUUAAUUCGAUGCAACGCGAAAAACCUUACCUACCCUUGACAUGUAUCGAAGCCCGCAGAGAAGUGGGUGUGCCCGAAAGGGAACGAUAACACAGGUGCUGCAUGGCUGUCGUCAGCUCGUGUCGUGAGAUGUUGGGUUAAGCCCCGCAACGAGCGCAACCCUUGUCAUUAAUUGCCAUCAUUUAGUUGGGCACUUUAAUGAGACUGCCGGUGACAAGCCGGAGGAAGGUGGGGACGACGUCAAGUCCUCAUGGCCCUUAUGGGUAGGGCUUCACACGUAAUACAAUGGCGCGUACAGAGGGUUGCCAACCCGCGAGGGGGAGCUAAUCUCAGAAAGCGCGUCGUAGUCCGGAUCGGAGUCUGCAACUCGACUCCGUGAAGUCGGAAUCGCUAGUAAUCGCGGAUCAGCAUGUCGCGGUGAAUACGUUCCCGGGUCUUGCACACACCGCCCGUC
rnacentral:rRNA from 1 species